UUUGGUGGUUUUACCAGGUUGGCACCUUAUUUUUAGGUAUGCCUGGUGCUGCCCUUGGCAUGCCCUCCAAUACUCUCCAUUCAACCAGUGUUGGUCCCCUGGAUCAAUGGCAAUGGCUGUCUGUAGGAUAUGCUGGGCAAUGAGGUUACAGAUUGUGCUGGAGAAGGUCUGCUACUGUUGCAGUCUCUCUCAAAGCCUCAUAGAUAUCUGGUUUUGAGCUCCUGUGUCUGUUCCAAGUCUGUCCCUUUUAGCCGAAGUUAGUGCCACCCAACGCAAUGGGGGGUAUUAUCAAGUUUAAGAUGAGGCUUUGUCUCCACAGGACUGUGCGGUGGUUGCUGUUAUCAAUCCUGUCAUGGACAGAUGCCUCUGCAGCUGGGAAAUUGGUGAUGAUGAGAUCAGCUAUAUUUUCCCCGUUUGGUGCGUCAGCACCUGCUGCAGUCCCAGCCAAGCAGCUUUGUCCUUUAGGACUCGACUAGCCUGAUUGGUAAUCCUCCUACAAACUACUCCUGAUGUGGACAUUGAGUACAUUUAGUGCUAUUCACACUCGCAGUGUUUCCUCCAAGUGCUGUUCAACAUGAUAGAGUUUUUUGCUUCUUAAAAUUCACUCUUGGGAUGUGGAAAUCGCUGGCUGGACCAGCGUUUAUUACCUGGAAGGUAGUUAAGAGUGAAGCACAUCACUAUGGGUUUGGAGUCACAUGUCAUCCAGACCAGGUAAGGAUGGCACAUUUCCGGAAAGGACAUAAGUGAACCAGAUGGGUCUUUCCUGAUAAUUGGCAAUGGUUUCAUGGUCAUCAUUAGAAUCUUAGUUCCAGAUCAUUAUUUAAUUCAUGUUUCACCAUCUGCCAUGGCAAGAUGCGAACCCAGGUCCCCAGAAUGUUAUCUGGGUCUCUGGAUUAAUAAUCUAGCGAUAAUACUACUGCUGAUUUAUCAACCAAGGGAGGAUGGUACAUGGUAAUCAGCAGGAGCCAUGAGACUUCCAGGCGUCAGAGUCAAUGUUGAGUACUCCCAGGUCAAAUAAUCUGGUCAGAAUAGCACUGUGCUGUCACGUCUGCUGGGACAGGGCUUCACUAAGGACAAUGAUAGUGGUGUGUGUCAUUGUUUGCCAGGUAUGUUUCCAUGAGUCUGACACUGUUCCUUGACUCGUCUUUGAAGCGGCUCUCCAAAUUUUGCCACUAGCCCCCAGAUAUUAUUAAGCAGGAGUUUGGGGGGUCGAUAGGGCUGAUUCUGCAGUUGUCUUUCCUAGUUCCCUGGUAGAUGCCAAAUGGGCCACCCAGCUUCAUUCCUUUGUUGAAACUUUGCAGUGAUUUGCAACUGAGUGGCUUGCUGAGGUUGGCAAAUUUCUUUCCCCGAAGGACAUUAGAUUUUUUUUUUCUCUCUGUCAUCAGCAAUCGUUGCCAUGGCAACCAGUUGAUUCUUCCAGUUUUUUUAUUGAAUUCAAAUUCCACCAUCUGCUGAGAUAGGAUUUGAACCUGGACUUCUGUUGUACAUUUUAACAUUCUGGAUAAAAGUUAGUCAUCAGGUUUGUUCACUCAUUUUUAAAUAUCACUAACACAGGCAUGGUUUCUUUGCAAAACACUGUCCAUCAUCCUGUCUCCUCCAUCCUCCCCUCCAACGGCAAGUGAAGGAGACACAUGCCCUAUUCUCACGAAACUACAAAUAUUCCAACUCUUAUUUCUCCUCCUCCUCCCUGCCUCUUCCCCGAUGCCAAUUCACAGAUAUUGUUACUUGUUCUGUCUGUUUCUCUUUUCUGGUUAUGUCCUUCUCACCCAUUCUGUUUAAAACCAAUGUUCGACCUCACCGUCAUUUGAAAAUCCCACUCCAUCUCUCUUUCCUGUCUGAAAUCCAUGUAGUAAAUGUCCCUCAAGGAUCUAUCCUUGGCCCAUGCUGUUUCUCACCAACAUACUUCCAGGAGGUGAGAUCUUCGACAAGCACUGUGUUAACUUUCACAUGUAUUCUACAAUGUUCAGAUCUAACUCGUCUCCAUCACUUUGCUCCACUGUUACUCAAUUAUAAAACUGCUUAUCAUGCUUCCACUACUUGAUUAGCUGAAAUUUCCUCCAAUAACACUUUGUGAUAGUAAAACACAUUGCCUUCAGUUAUUAUUACAAAUUAUUUUUCCUUACUAUUGUACUGAAUCCAUCCCUCUCAUUGGGAACUGUCUGAGGCUGAACUGCACCCUUCUCAAUAAUGCUCUCAUAUCUGGUCUCAAGAAAAACAUCUUACCGUACAUUUCAAUCACAAAUGCCAGAAAUUUCAAUCUCUAAAAUGCUCCUUCUCUCCACCUCACUCCAGCUCAUUCGCGACUGAAACCCCUUACCCAUGUCUGUGUUGCCUUAAGCUUGACAAUUCCAAAAGAGAACCCUCUCUUCUCUGCCUUAUCAAGAAUCUGCUCCCACGAUGAGAAAUAUUUCCUCUGCAUUUAUCCUGUCAACUCCCUUAAGAAUCCUCUAUUUUUAAUUAGAACAUCUCUCAUUCUUCAAAAAAAAUCUAGUUAGUAUAUUCCAGACCUGUUUAGUCUUAGCUUAAAACAUAAUCCCUCCAAACCAAUGAUCAUCUUAGUUCAUCUUCUUUGAAAUGCCUCCAGUGAAGUUAUAUACUUGCUCGAAUAAGUGGACCAAAAAAGCUGCUCGCAUUCUUCCAGAUGUGGUCUUGCCAGCAAGUUGUACAUUUGUCCUAAGACAUGUAUUCCAAACUCUUCUACUGCAAACACCUUGACAUAAGCAUAACAUCCCAUGACCCUUCCCGAUUACCUGUUGCAACUGUGUGCUCGCUUCAUGCUUCCUGCACAAUUAUUCCUGAAUCCCUUUUGUGUUGCAGUUUUCCACAGUUUUUACAUUUUUAAAUAACACUGUUCUUUGGUCAUGUCCUCAAAAAAUAGCAACUUCUCGUUUUCCCAAAAUAUACUCCAUUUGCCGACUUGUCGCCCAUUUAUCAAUAUCUCUCCAUAAACUCUAACCCUCAUGGAACUUGACUGUUAUCCCUUUUUUAUGAGAUCCUCCCUCAUUCUUCUCAUCUUUUUGUUGGGAGCACUGGGCAACAUGACACAUCUGUAAUUGCUGCCUUUUUCAGGGGCGUUUUUUCAAAUGACUGGGAGAAGCUUACUGCCCCUUUCUCAGAAUCGAGACAACUUGUUCAUCAAGUUGCAUUGGGCCGGAAAAGCUGAUGUCUCAUUGUGGCAGUGCAGCAGCACAGAAGGAAAGAAAAGGAAGCAAAUCCUGCUGCCUGCAUCUCACUAAAUCUUGGCCAUUCUUUGCCUUGUGUCAAACACCUGUUGUUCUGUUCAGUGACAUGAAGCCCCAAUGUGGAAAUUCCUAGAAACCCAAAUAGAAAUCCCUCGAAUCAGCUGCUGACUCCCACAAGGAAUAAUGUGCAGCAGGAACAAUGCACAGUUACCCUCGGCCAGGAGGAGGGGAUGUUGUGGAUUCCUACUCUGACAGUGAUGGAUUUUAUGAAUUUGUGUUACAGGAUAUUACAAGUGGACUUUCAGGUAGGAAGCUCAAUAAUUGUAACACCAAACUCUGACAGAAUUACUCAAUUCAUCAGGACCUGGAUAUUCGCAUUGUGUAUUUCCACAAUUUUACUUCUGCACUAUUCUUAGUCUUUCAGAGGGAUCGAAAGGUUGAGUUACAGAUCUAUACAAUGACUGUCCUUCCUCGCUGGCUUCCCCCACCUCUCUCUUUUGGUAGUUUUAUGCAAACACUGACUGGAUCCCUUACCUGGAGGAUAUUUAUGAAUGAAUUUGUUCUAAUGGUGAUCCAGCAUUUUCCCCAAGUAUCGCUCCACACAUGCCCAGAGAAUUUCUCAGUUUCACAAUCUGUGUCCUUCUGGUUUCUUACUCGCUCCACUUAACUUUCUGUUUGAAAGUAUAGUCUGCAGUUGGAGAAUUUAAACAGGUCCACAUCCAGGUCUGACGGUCACUUUGUUUAUCACAACCCAAUUAUCUCAGGAUUUUGAACAAUGAAGGAAAAAGCAGCACUCACAUUGGGGAGAAAUGCACAUGGCGUGUGUGUUGAAGAGUCUGUGAAGAUUCAUCUGAAAUGUCCGAACACCAGUGCAGUGACGCUGGGAGACAGAGUGUGGAAAUGUGCAGAUUGCAGGAAGGAAUUUCUUCAUCCAUCCCAGCGAGAAACUGACCACCAGAGUCACACUGGAGAGAGACCAUUGACCUGUUCUGCAUGAGGGAAAGGCUUUGCUGAUUCGAAUUCCCCGCUGAUACACCAGCGAGUUCACUCUGGGGAGAGACCUUUCAUGAGCUCUGAGUGUGGGAAGGGAUUCAUUGUCAGCCAAACUGUUAACACACCAGUGAGUUCACAGACAACCACAGUUGAAGAACUUUGCUGUCACUCUCACUAUCAAAUGAACCAUGGUUUUGGGCUGUUUGUACAGAUGUUACCGAUCCCUGCUCAAUUAAAGGUGCUGGUAUUGUGAAUAAAAUGUCACACUAA